UCUAAACAGGCAUUGUCUUGGCUUCCUGUGAUAACUUAAAGGGAAUCUUUCAUCAUAUCUCGAGCCCCUGAGUACUGCAAAUAAAGGAGGAAAGUGUUCUUAAAUUCCUUGCAGCAGCGAUUUGCUUCGGCGGCACUGACCUUGACUUCUGAAUGGAACGGUGAUGGCAUUUGAUCAUGACUGAGGAAAACCUCAAGAAACUUCUGCUGGCAGCUUGUGCCACGGUUGCCACUGAAGACCCGACGACGGGGUCAUACCUUUCAGAGAUACUGAUCAGUGAGCUGCCCUUAAGUUUGCUGCUGCUGACGACGGCACCACUCCUGUUGCCAGCCACUUCACUUCCAGAACCUUCAGUAACCAGAUCCAGGAAGCUUUCUGCGAGUGGAGACUUCCAGGAAUUACUGAUGCCAGUGCAGACCAGCGGCCUCACACAGAGGCAUCUUAUCACUGCUCUGUGGGCACCGCCACCCCACGCGACAGAAGGGGAGCUCACCCAGUGGGUCUGAUGCUGUGACGCUGGUCUGGGAGUUUCUGCGCAAGCGCUCUGGCAUGGUCUCGUAUGACCACCUUCGAGAGGUCAGCCUGACCUCUGCUUCUGGAAAGAUCCUGAAGACACCGAAAAGGAAGAGCAGACAGCGGCUCAAAGGUCACGCCCACGGUGGGAUUUCAGGGUGGAUGGAGUGCUCCAGCUUUCAAGUUGACUGUUCCCCAUCCCGAGAUUGCGGACGGGCGGGAAGGCACGCUGGUCCCCUCUGCGUCUGGUCUGCUGCCACAGCUCCGCUGGGACUUCAACUUUGCUGAGGAGAUCUCUUCCAGAACAUGGUGUCCUUUAGCACAAGACUAACCAAGCGUUUGGCCCGAUAAGGAUCCUGCAGGACCCGCAGAAGCUGCAGGCAAACUUGUGUCCCACACCACCCUGGCGAGCCAGCAGAAUCUCGCACAGACUGAAAUGAAGUUGGUGGCCUGGGCUAACGUCAUCUCAAAACCCAAUUGGUAGAGGAUUGCUUUAAACAUGAUUCACCUGGUUCCUGGCAGGUCUCAGAAGAUCUGAGAUUCUACAAGAAUAUCUGUGGUACCUUUAUUCAUAAUAGCAAAAAUUUGGUAAUAAGUCAAGUUUAUCAGCAGAAGAAUGAGCAAAAAGAAUAUUUGUAGAUUCAUACAAGGAAUAUUAUUGAUAAGACAUAAAAUAAAAUGUUGAAUCAUAGAACAGUCCGUCUCAAAAUAAUGAAGCCAAAAAUAAAGAGUACAUACUAUAUAAUUUCCUUUAUACACAGUUCUAAACAAUGCAAAUUAAUCUGUAGUGACAGAAGGCUGAUAAGUAAUAGGUGUGAUAUAGAGGACUUCAGGGAGAGGGAAAACAACUUUUGAAUAUGAAGAAAAUAUUCUAUAACUUGAUUGAGG
ensembl:lncRNA